AGGGAAGACACCCAAAAAACGGUGCACCUAUAUGAGAUCGAGGAUCUCUCUUUCCCCAUUCGGAGAAGAAACUCAGCAGCCUCCCAUCUCAGUAGAAAAAAAAUCAAAAUAGACUCUCUUUCACCCAAUUCCUAUAAACUUUCUCUCAUCUAUAUUCACUCAUUUUUAUUCUCUCAUUUACACACGCACCUUCACGCAUACACGCACAGAGAAUGAAAAGGAUGGGAGAUUGAUUCUUUGCACAAAGUAACAAAUCUAAAAAUUAACCAAAACACCGGAAGAGUUACAAAGGGAAAAGCUGGGCAGCAACUUCAAAAAGCAAGAGGAACGAAGAGCAGAAUUGUAAAAUUAUUGAGGGGGAAGGGACAGUCAAAUCCUGAUUUCGAAUUUUGAAACCUUUUGAUUUUAGUUUCAAAUUUCGGCUGUUACUUCUGAUUUUUGAUUUGGAGUCCGAUGGAGUUUGAUUGAGGUCAUUGUUCGAGCUCCAGCCAAUGAUUUUGUUUGGGACGUGUCGUUGUCCAUUUUCAAAUUGAAGUUUUUCUUUAAAAGGUUAGAUCUCUUUCAACAGAAAGGUCCACUGAUGACUUCUUAUUUUAAAUUAAUGCAUAACUUUGUAACUUUAUGUAUCUGGAUGAAUUUUCCUUGGUUUCAUAAUUAUCUCUUUUGUUGCUGCUUAUAAUACUACUUAUUGUGGAUUAAAGUGCCUAAAAAAUAUUUUUUUAAUUUUAUUUUGAGGCUUAAAACAGUAAAAGGGCAUAUUUGUUUGAGCGGGAUUUUUAUCGUACUCGCAAGUUGUUAUUUCUUGUUGAAUUUGUAGGAUAUUGAAAUUUAGCCGUGAAAUUGUUUCCCUUCGCUUCAUGUUUAUUUUUUUAGUGUUUUGAUUUCUUUUGUUUAUAAUGUCCUUCUCCAGAUGUUACUCUUAUUAGGUGUUUAGGUUAAUUGAACAAUUAAAAUUUAGCUUUUGACAUUUAUGGACUAAAUAGGGCUGUGAGAUUUGAUAAUUGAAAUUUGAAAGUUGGAUAAAAAACAAAUUCGACUAGAGCCGCUAGCCCAGUCCAACAGAAUGCAAUAACUGGACCUUUCUUUGUAAAUUCAUUUAGCUAGUCACUUCACAUAGGAAAUGAACAACUUUGAACAUUCGUAGUUUGAUUUAGGCGCGUUUUACAAUAAAUUAUCGCGACUAUGAGUACGGUUCCCGUGGUAUAGUCACGAUAACUAAUUUCCAACUUCGGGGGUGCAUUUCAUGUGACCCAAUCAUAACAACUUCGAAUACUAAUAAAAUUAACAUGUCACAAAUCGCGGGUGCAUUUCAUGUAGCAUGGUUUGUGAUGUGUCCCAAAACAACAAGUGUACGAUAAUCGUAACUUGUUCAAGAAAUAAAUCCAUAAAUCCUAAAAGCGGUUUUAAAAUAAUUAAAAGCGGUUAUGAAGUUAAAAAUGCACAAUACGUUUGAAACAUGUAAUAAAUCAGAUAAUAUGCCAAUUAUUAAUAGUUAAAGCGACCGUGCUAGAACCACGGAACUCGGGAAUGCCUAACACCUUCUCCCAAGUUAACAAAAUUCCUUAGUUAGAAUUUCUGGUUUCGCAAACUUUUAAAUAAAGUCCAUUUUCCCCGAUUUGAGAUAUUAUUUUAAAAAUAAAUCGAUGACUUGGGACACCAAAUAAACUAUUCCAAGUGGCGACUCUGAAAAUAAAUAAAAUAAUUCCAUUUUGAAUAAUGUCACUUUAAUUGGAAAAACUCCGUUAUAUACCCCUCAGGUAGAAAAAGGAGGUGUGACCCCAGGUAUUAUACCUCCUGAUUGCGAGACCUACAUAGAGACCGCGAAUAAUAAAUAAUCACUGCCCUCAAAAUAGUCUACACGAAUGCGAUGGUUACCAGACCUGACACUUCGCGAAUGCGUGCACACCUACCUGAUCGUGUAGUCUUAAAGCCCGACGCCCUAGCUAACAUCUCCUCUACGCGAACGGGUUACCCUACUCAUGAUCGCGCUAACUUGAGCCUCUCAAAGCUAGACGAAUGCGAGCUUAUUAGCGCAAACAUGAAGAAUAAAUGACCGCUGCUAGCAACAUUUCUUCGUGAUCGCGUCCCUUUCUUUGCGGUCACGAAAGAGGAAACCAGAUGCACAAAAAUCAACAGUCCAACAAUGAAGAAAAAUGAUCUGACACCCAUUCAGAACACACCCGAGGCACUCGAGACCUCGUCCAAACAUACCAACAAGUCCUAAAACACAACACAAACUCGCUUGAAGCCUCAAAUCACAUCAAAUAAUAUCAAAACCAUGAAUCGUGCAUCAAUUCAAGCCUAAUGAACCAAUGAGCUUCCAACUUCUAAAAUUAAUGUCGAAUCAUAUCAAACCAAUUUUGAAUGAUCUCACAUUUUGCACACAAGUCAUAAAUGACACAACAGACCUAUGCCAACUCCCAGAAUCGAAUUCGAACCGUUAUCGACAAAGUCAACUCUCGGUCAAACUUCUCAGCCUUCCAAACCUUCAACUUUCCAACUUUCGCCAAAAACUAUCAAAUCGACCUACAGGCCUCCAAAUUAACAUUUGAACAUAUGUCUAAUUCCAAAAUCACCAUAUGAAGAUAUCAGAAUCAUCAAAACUCCAUUCCAAAUUCGUAUACAUAAAAGUCAAACAUCGAUCAACUCUUCCAACUUAGGAUUCCAAACUUGGGUCUAUGUGUCCUAAUUCACUCUGAAACAUCCCCGGAACCAAACCAACCACCCCAAAAAGUCACAUAACCACAAAUAAAUAUAGAAUAAGCAAUAAAUAGGGGAAUGUGACUACAAUACACAAAACGGCCGACCGGGUAGUUAUAUUUCCGAAUCCAUUGUUGGAUCCGCCUCUAAAAAUACACGCAUACAAUCCAAUUAAGAUUGCUCCUCCAUCAUUCUUUGUACCAGAUGAGAUGCAGAUUAGAGAUAAUAAACACUAGCAUAUUCUUAUGUAUAUGACACUGCAUAUAAGUAAUUAUACUUGUAACAAGAAUGUGUAAGGGGGAGAAGAUGCAAAAUGGGUUGCUUCUUUAUUUUUUACUUUACUAGUUUAUACGAACGUGUGUUGCACGUUAAUAAUAGCACGUAAUAAUUUAGUAUAUUAUUUAUAUGAAGGAACAUCAAAGUCAACGAAUGAUACAAUUAUAUAUAUANNNNNNNNNNNNNNNNNNNNNNNNNNNNNNNNNNNNNNNNNNNNNNNNNNNNNNNNNNNNNNNNNNNNNNNNNNNNNNNNNNNNNNNNNNNNNNNNNNNNNNNNNNNNNNNNNNNNNNNNNNNNNNNNNNNNNNNNNNNNNNNNNNNNNNNNAUAUAUAUAUGCAAAUACAAUCCAAUAUUUGGAUUGCUUGCCCUUGCACUUUAUUAUUGUCAUUAAAAAACAUAAUCAUAAAAGGGUAGCCGGUAUACAAAGCAACCCUCAUUCACGCAUGGUCUGGAGAAGGGACAUACCCAAGGGAUGUGAUGUAGAUAACUAUCCUAAUGCAAGUAUUAGUGGUUACUUUCACGAACUGUUCCGUGACAAAUAGGUCAUACAUAGACCACUUUACUAUUGCUCAAAGUCUCCCCUUCAACAAAAUUCAAGCAUAUUGAAAAUUAUUUUCGGUUAAAUUUAAAAGGAUAUCUUUCAUUUUGUGGAGGAAAAAGUUAAAUUCAGGGAAUAAAUAUAUGCUUGAAAGUAUAUUGACCCAUCAUGAUUUCUGCAUAUAUAAUGUUAUUAUAUUAAAAUCUCUACAUACCAUUCUUGUACCAUUACAUAAUUCGUUUGAUUAUCUAAGUUUCUCAGUAGCAUAAUGGGUGCAUUUUCUUUAAAUUUAACUUGUAUGCGAUGAAAGAUCAAUCCCAUUUUAAAUUAAUAUUAUCUUCAGUUAUCCAAUUAAAGCAGCAACCAAUUUACUUUUUAAAAAACUAAUAAGAAUACACGAUAUCCAAAAUUGCAAUAAUUAUAGGGGUAUCAAGUUGUUAGUCACACUAUGAAGGUUUGGGAGAGGGUGGUGGAGGCCAGGGUGAGGAGGUGUGUGUCUAUUUUUGAGAAUCAGUUUGGAUUCAUGCCAGGAUGUAAGUGAAUCAUCUGGUUAGGAAAUUAAUGGAACAGUAUAGGGAGAGGAAGAAGGACUUAUAUAUAAUGUUUAUUUACCUUGAGAAAGCGUACGAUAAAGUCCUGAGGGAGGUCCUUUGGAGGUGUUUGGAGGCUAGUGGUGUUCCGGUAGCGUACAUUAGGGUGAUAAAGGAUAUGUAUGAUAAUGCUAAGACUCGGGUGAGGACUAUCGGUGGAGACUCAGAGCAUUUCCCUGUGGUAAUAGGGUUGACCCAGGGAUCGACUCUUAGCCCGUUUUUAUUUGCCUUAGUGAUGGAUGUACUGUCGCGACACAUCCAAGGGGAGGUGCCUUGGUGCAUGCUAUUUACCGAUGAUAUAGUAUUGGUUGACUAGACACAAAGCGGAGUUAACGCGAGUUUGGAGGUUUGGAGAUGGACCCUGGAGUCUAAAGGUUUCAAAUUGAGUAUAACCAAAAAAAAUACUUGGAGUGCAAAUUCUGUGACGGACCCAUGAAGCAGACGUAGAGGUAAAUCUUGAUGCUCAUGUUAUCCCUAAAAGAGCGAGUUUUAAGCAUCUCGGGUCUAUUAUCCAAGGUACAGGGAGAUUGACGAAGAUGUCGCAUAUCACAUCAGAGCAGGAUGAAUGAAGUGGAGUCUUGCUUCCGGUGCUGUAUAUGAUAAGAAUGUGUCACCCAGACUUAAGGAAAAGUUUUAUAGAGUGGUGGUUUGACUGGCUAUGUUGUAUGGGGCUGAGUGUUAGCCAGUUAGGAACUCCCACAUGCAGAAGAUGAAAGUAGUAGAGAUAAGAAUGUUGAGGUGAAUGUGCGAGUGUACCAGGAGAGAUAAGAGUAAGAAUGAAGUUUUCCUGUACAGAGUGGGAGUAGCCUCCGUGGAGGACAAGAUGCGAGAGUCGAGGCUGAGAUAGUUCAGACAUGUUAAGAGAAGAAGCAUUGAUGCCCCUGUUAAGAAGUGUAAGAGGUUGGCCAUGGCGAGUUUUAGAAGAGGUCGAGGUAGGCCUAAAAAAUACUGGGGAGAGGUGAUUAGACAGGACAUGACAUUGCUUCAGCUUACUGAGGACAUGACCCUUGAUAGGAGGGUGUGGAGGUUGAGGAUUAAGGUAAAAGGUUAGUGGGUAGUUUUUAGUUGCUCACCGAUAGUUUUAGUAGCACGCAUGUCCCUUUAUAUUCUUAGAUUUUUAUUACAUUAUGUGGUUUUGUUUGCCUCAGGUAUUGUAUCCCUUGUUACUAGUAUUUGGUACUAUUAUCCUUUAUCUCUCCCUUUUUCUUUUCUCUUCCCUCUUUUUUCCUUUCUUGCUAGCCACUUUUUCUUAUUACCCAUCCUGAGCCGAGUGUCUAUUAGAAACAACCUCUCUACCUGUUAGGUAGGGGUAAGGUCUGCGUAUAGAGUACCCUCCCCAGACAACACCUAGUGGGAACAUACUAGGUUUGUUCUUGUAGUUGUUGUAAAGACAACCAAAACCACGUAAAAGAUAAAAAAAUUAGUUGUCAAAAAGAAUUGAAAACUUUCCAAAGUAUGCAUUUUGACGGUUUGCUCUCAAAGAUUUACGAACUAUGGCUGAGUGGAAGAGGAAGAAGGAAUGCAGUGGAAUCUAUACAAAUUAAAUCUGGAAUGAUUCCUAAUUGAAUAGGAUCUCUUUAAGCAAUUAAACAGUUGGAACAUAACCCAUCCCAUUUCAAAUUUGACUAUUGGCGGGGAAUAUUUUGGUGUCUAUUUCAUACAUACAUGAUACUAAUAUACAUGAGAGAUAAUAAAAUUGAUAACGAAUCUGUGAAGUGGAAGGUCAUUUGGUAAUUUGUAAGGACCCGGCCGGUCGUUUUGAGAGUUUAAGCCCCGAUACCAUAUUAACUGCUUCCCCCGUAUCUAUUUCUACUAUUGUGACUUGUCGGGAGGCUUUGUUUUGGUUUUUGGAGUGUUUUGGGAUACUUAGUCCCCUAAAUGGAAGCUUAAGUCGUAAGAUUUUGACUGUAAUUAGAAUUGUGUGAAGAAAACUCCGGAAUGGAGUUCUGUCAACUUCAUCGGGUAAUUUUAGGCUUAGGGGUGUGUCCAGAUUGUGUUUUGGAGGUCCGUAGCUCAUUUAGACUUGAAAUGGAGAAAGUCGAACUUUGAAGAUUUAGACCAGUAGUGGAGUUUCUGAUAUCGGGUUCGGAAUCCUAUUCCGGAAGUUGGACCAAGUCCGUAGGGCUGAUUAUGACUUAUGUACAAAAUUUGAGGUCAUUGGUUUGAUAGGUUCCGGCAUCGGUUGUAGAAGUUUGAAAGUUUCAAGUUCUUUAAGUUUGAAUUGCAGGGUGAUUCGUGAUUUUAGCAUUGUUUGAUGUGGUUUGAGGCUUGACUAAGUUCGUAUUGUGUUUUAGGACUUGUUGGUAUAAUUGGUUGAGGUACCGAGGGCUUCGGGUGUGUUUCAGAUGCUUAACAUGUUGAAAUUUGGACUUAGGCAAUUGCUGAAGCUGCUGCACUUGGUGUAAUCACACCUGUGUACUUUGGGCAGCAGGUGCGGUGCCGCAGAAGCGACCAUGGAGCCACAUAAGUAGUUUUGGCCCUGACCUGCCGGGAUCGCAGGUGCAGCGAAUGGUCUGCAGAAGCGGAUGUGCAGAUGCAGUCCCAACCCAUUUAAGUUGCCUUCGCACCUAUGAUGGAUUUUCUACAGGUGCGGGACCGCAGAUGCGGUUGAAGGCUCGCAGAAGCGAAUUCUCUGCAGAAAAAAGGGAAAUUUUGAGGGUUUGAAUUCAUUCUUCAUUUUUGGACUUGAGAGCUCGAAAAUUUGUGAUUCUUCAAGAGAUUUUCAAAGAAAGCUUUGGGGUAACGAUUCCAAACUCGUUUUUGGUUGUAUUCCAUUAAUCCUUAGUUGUUUUCUUCAUUAAAUUAAGGAAUUUGGGUGAGAAGUUGGAAAAAUGGGGGAAAAGUUCUCCAACUGAAUUUCUGAGUUUUGAUUGGGAUUUAGACAUCGGAUUUGGAUGAUUUUGGUAUGAGUGAACUCGUGAGUGAAUGGGUAUUCAUAAUUUGUGACUUUUACCCGAUUCUGAAAAGUGGGACUGGGGAGGCUUUUUGGCCGAUUUUUCCAAUUUCUCACAUUAGCUUUGAUUUCAUUAGCUAGAUUAGUUUCUUGUAGUUAUAUUUAUGUUAUGUAAUUGAUUUUUGUUAGAUUUGUGUCAUUCGGAGCCAGAUAUUCAAUGGAAAGGCAUUGUGACAAAUUGAUUUGAGCUUGAUUUGAGGUAAGUGGCUUGCCUAACCUUGUGUGGGAAAACUCCUCUUGGGAUUUUGUUCUGUAUUGAUACGUGAGCGCCGUGCACGUGAGGUGACGAGUGCGUACAUGGGCUAUUUGUUCCAAAACUCCGUUUUUCAUUAAGUAAAAUACCUGUGUCCUUUUAACUAAACUACACUAGCAUAUGUAAUUAUCAUGUUUAGGUUAGGACAACAUAUUUACGUGUCUUAAUUGCUUAUUUGAACUCUGGGCAGCAUGCUUAGUGAAUCUCCUAUUCUUCCUUGACUUGUACUUAGUCUAAAUUGUUGGAUUCCGUGUUGUUGUUGUAUUUCUAUUAUUGAGCUGCAUAUUUACUUUGGAAAUACAGAACGGUAUUCCGGGAGAUCUCCCUAUACUGCAUAUUUUCUUUGGUACUACGGAACGGUAUUCUGGGAGACCCCCCUGCACUACAUAUUUACUUUGGGACUACAGAGCGGUAUUCUGGGAGAUCCCCUGCAUAUUUACAUUUGGGACUACGAGACGGUAUCUCAGGAGAACCCCUAUUAUUAUCCCUAUGUACUGAGCUAUUACCUUCUCUAAUUUCAUUCUGUUAAAUUUUAGUCUUUAUUUACUGUCGUAUUUCAUUCUGCCUUGCUUUAUUAUAUAUAUACCAGUAGGGCCUGACCUGACCUUGUCACUACUCAACUGAGGUUAGGCUUGACACUUACUUGGUACCGUUGUGGUGUACUCAUGCCCUUUCCCGCACAUGUUUUUCAUGUGCAGAUCCAGAUACCGCUUAUCAGUCGCAUUACCAGUGAGGCGAGACAGCUGUAGAGACUUCAAGGUAUAUCUGCCGCAUCAGCAGACCUUUGAGUCCCUAUCUACUCUUCCCUAUGUCAAACACUUCUUGUAUUUCCUUUGUUUAGACUCUGGAGUAUAGAAAUACUAUUUUCUUUCUGUAGCUUGUGACUUACAAUAUUCUGGGUUUUGGGAGAGUUUAUGUACAUUUCGAGAGUGAUUAUUGUAUAUGCUAGGCAG
rnacentral:lncRNA from 1 species